rnacentral:rRNA from 1 species
UACGUAGGGUGCGAGCGUUGUCCGGAAUUAUUGGGCGUAAAGAGCUUGUAGGCGGUUUGUCGCGUCUGCUGUGAAAAUCCGGGGCUCAACCCCGGACUUGCAGUGGGUACGGGCAGACUAGAGUGUGGUAGGGGAGACUGGAAUUCCUGGUGUAGCGGUGAAAUGCGCAGAUAUCAGGAGGAACACCGAUGGCGAAGGCAGGUCUCUGGGCCACUACUGAUGCUGAGAAGCGAAAGCAUGGGGAGCGAACAGG